UCGAUUUUGAUUUUCCUGUAAGGGCAGCAACCUCAUCAAGGAGUUUUGUAUAGUUAUGAUAUGGUUUGCUGUUACGCUACGUAUCACUUCUUCAAUAGUGUCAAUGUAAAAUAAUUAGCACUCCAACCAUUUUAUAAAUAGAUGGUUUUAUUUACUGAAUCGAUCAUGAAUAAACUUAAGCCCAAUGGCCUGCGAAAAUUGGCGCGGUACGGUACCGGGCGGUAUAAUCCCAAGCGUAAAGUGGCAAGGAUAUAUGCAAAGUCAUUGAAGAGGUGCAGUGCGAUGUAACACGGUAUAGCCAAAGACUUUGUUUCCAUGCGAAGAGUGACGAGCUCAAAUUGCCGGCAGUCUGCACCAAUUUAAAACGCAUUCCUCUUACACAAUUUGUAUUUAUUAACCCGAUUUUCGCGAUGGACACUUCAAGUUCUGAGUAGGAAUUAUUGCUGCUAGCAGCACUUCUCGAUGAAGAAAUUGGAAGACAAAAAAAUAUAAGUUACCGAAAUAAAAUCGAGGAGAAAAGAAGAUGGUGAAUUUUCCACUCUGAUAAUCCAG